CAAGACAAGCGUAAAAGGUGACGCAGUUGUCAGCAGAAAUAGACUGAGACUAAGAAGCGCAGUGAAAAGACCUUAUGAUACAUGCACCACUCCAGUUACAAGAUCAUUUCUUCUCCAGCUUUUACUACGGACAAGAGACAAUUCCGUAAAUGAACACAUAGAAAAGUUUAUGAGGGACACCAGAGGAGCAUGCAGAACCAAUGAAACUCUCGUCAAAACGUGUCAAAUGUUCAUACAUUGCAUAGAGGAAACAACUGUAUACCAUUUUCUGAAAGACUUGAAAACAACUAAAGAUGAAAUUUCGGAAGCGGAGAAAUUUGUACAGUCUGCUACUGGUUUAUUUAAUGAACAGUUGUCAUUCAAAUCGCUUUCUCGUGUCGCAGAAGUUCG